rnacentral:rRNA from 1 species
AACGAACGCUGGCGGCAUGCCUAACACAUGCAAGUCGAACGAGACCUUCGGGUCUAGUGGCGCACGGGUGCGUAACGCGUGGGAACCUGCCCUUAGGUUCGGAAUAACUCCCCGAAAGGGGUGCUAAUACCGGAUAAUGUCUUCGGACCAAAGAUUUAUCGCCUUUGGAUGGGCCCGCGUUGGAUUAGCUCGUUGGUAGGGUAAAAGCCUACCACGGCGACGAUCCAUAGCUGGGCUGAGAGGAUGAUCAGCCACACUGGGACUGAGACACGGCCCAGACUCCUACGGGAGGCAGCAGUGGGGAAUAUUGGACAAUGGGCGAAAGCCUGAUCCAGCAAUGCCGCGUGAGUGAUGAAGGCCUUAGGGUUGUAAAGCUCUUUUACCCGGGAUGAUAAUGACAGUACCGGGAGAAUAAGCGCCGGCUAACUCCGUG